rnacentral:rRNA from 1 species
UCAGGACGAACGCUGGCGGCGUGCCUAACACAUGCAAGUCGAACGGAACGAAAAGAGCUUGCUCUUGGCGUUUAGUGGCGGACGGGUGAGUAACACGUGAGUAACCUGCCUUUCAGAGGGGAAUAAUGUCUGGAAACGGACACUAAUACCGCAUAAUGUAUUUUAACCGCAUGGUUGAGAUACCAAAGGAGCAAUCCGCUGAAAGAUGGACUCGCGUCUGAUUAGCCAGUUGGCGGGGUAACGGCCCACCAAAGCGACGAUCAGUAGCCGGACUGAGAGGUUGAACGGCCACAUUGGGACUGAGACACGGCCCAGACUCCUACGGGAGGCAGCAGUGGGGGAUAUUGCACAAUGGGCGCAAGCCUGAUGCAGCAAACCGCCGCGUGCAGGAAGACGGUCUUCGGAUUGUAAACUGUUGUCCUCUGUGACGAUAAUGACGGUAGCAGAGGAGGAAGCCACGGCUAACUACGUGCCAGCAGCUGC